rnacentral:rRNA from 1 species
GUUAGGAAUAUUGGACAAUGGGCGCAAGCCUGAUCCAGCCAUGCCGCGUGAGUGAUGAAGGCCUUCGGGUUGUAAAGCUCUUUAGUCCACGAAUAUAAUGACUGUAGUGGAAGAAUAAGCCCCGGCUAACUUCGUGCCAGCAGCCGCGGUAAUACGAAGGGGGCGAGCGUUAUUCGGAAUCACUGGGCGUAAAGCGUGCGUAGGCUGUUUUGUAAGUCAGAAGUGAAAGCCCAGGGCUUAACCCUGGAAUUGCUUUUGAAACUACAAGACUCGAAUUCGGGAGAGGAUAGCGGAAUUGUCAGUGUAGCAGUGAAAUGCGUAGAUAUUGACAGGAACACCAGUGGCGCAAGCGGCUAUCUGGACCGAUAUUGACGCUGAGGCACGAAAGCGUGGGGAGCAAACAGGAUUAGAAACCGUGUAGUCC